CCUAAAAGUAACCCUUCUAAACACUAUAAGCACUUCAGAAAGACUAUCGCUUUUUGUUUUCUGAAGUUAGAGCUAUGUCGACACUGCCGUUUCAGGGCGGGGUCAUUUUCAGGACUUUCGUCCCGGAUUCAGGUUUUGGCACAUAUGCCAUGUUGACCGCCAUGGUCAUUUUACCCUAAAACAGUUGAGAUUACCUGUGCUAAAUGAAACGCAUACAAACUCAUAUACAGGUCCUAGACUACUUGUAAAAAGGUAUCAACACGGCUAUAUUUUCUAUAUAACUCGCUGCCGCAGUACCUGUCCGAUGACUUAGAAAACCUUCAAAAACGUGCUUUUCGCAUAAUUUUUCCUGAUAUGCACUACAAAAAUGUCUUGGAGACCAAGAACAUUUUGUCACUGAACGAUCGAAGACAAAAAUUAACAACGAAGUUGUUUAACGAAAUAGUCAGCAACUCACAUCAUAAUUUAUACGACCUCCUCCCGCCAUUUAAUACCGACGAUCACUUUUUAAGAAAUCAUAGAAAUUUUGAACUUCCUGUGUGUAAAACGAACAGACUUGAUGACAGUUUUAUCAUGCACAAUUCUAAUAUACAUUUUAGAUAGUUGAUUUGAUUUUUUAAUUUUUAAAUGUAAAUAGGGUUCAUAGCAUAUAUUCUAAAUAUCUUAUAUCUGUUAAACUUAGCGUAAUUCAGCUGUGAAAUUUUCUGAGGCUGUACGUUCUAAAGUUCAAUAAACCAUCUAUCUAUCUAUCUAUCACAAAUUAGUGCAGUGAGAGUUUCUGUCGAGAGGUUGUUUGGAGAUGUGAUAAACACAAUUCGUUUUAUGGAUUUUAAGAAAAAUCUAAAAAUAGGCAUGAGUAGUGUGGGAAAAGCUUACAUUGUUUGUGCGUUGUUGAGAAAUGCACUCACAUGCCUGUAUAAAAAUAACAAAUCAGAGUUUUUUAACAUAAGUCCUCCAAGUUUAGAAAGAUAUUUUGGGCAGCAUGAGUGAACAGUUAUAUACUUACUAUAAGUCAUGAGGCAUAGGCAAAUGAUUAAAUAUAUAUUUUAUAGCCCAAUAGAUAAGUAAACCGCCAAUCCAAAUAUAGGUAAACAUACAUGUAUAAAAUUGCAUUAAUUGAAAUGUACAGUAUACACUGGUUCUAAAAGCAUGCAAAGGCUGUUCACAUGAGUCUGACGUUUAAAACUUACUUAAAAUAAAGUGGCAGAGAAUAUAGUUGGUUCAGGUUUAGGUAAAAGCUUGUCUUAAAGUAUAUUCAAAUCUUUUCUUACGGCCAAGGAAAUAUUUUCGUGACAGUCAGUGAAAUUAGCUGGGUCAUAUAAACAGCCCUAAAUAUGAUUGUUCUUAAUAAACGAUUAAAGCAACUCAACAAUAUAAACAUUUUGUGUAUAACCAGGGGCGUAGGAACCGGGGAGGGCAGCCCCCCCCCCCCCAGUUUUCCAAAGUGCUCUUUUUCCGGGAGCAAAGUGCUCUUUUCUUGCGUGAAAAAUGUCAUUAAGAUUGCAUUUUUUGCCCAAAGGGCAGUUUUGAAAACUUGAAUUUAUGUUAUUUCCGGAAAAUGUUUUUCAUUUCCAGGAAAAAUAUCAUAUAUCCGGAACAUUUUUUGG